rnacentral:rRNA from 1 species
AGAUUGAACGCUGGUGGCAUGCCUUACACAUGCAAGUCGAACGGCAGCACGGGAGCAAUCCUGGUGGCGAGUGGCGAACGGGUGAGUAAUACAUCGGAACGUGCCCAAUCGUGGGGGAUAACGCAGCGAAAGCUGUGCUAAUACCGCAUAAGAUCUACGGAUGAAAGCAGGGGAUCGCAAGACCUUGCGCGAAUGGAGCGGCCGAUGGCAGAUUAGGUAGUUGGUGAGGUAAAGGCUCACCAAGCCUUCGAUCUGUAGCUGGUCUGAGAGGACGACCAGCCACACUGGGACUGAGACACGGCCCAGACUCCUAC